GGAUGUAAGGGUGACCUUGCUGCAACAUCUACCACUAUAUUGAUACCCAGGGUUGAUUCAGGUAAUCAGGCUGGCUAGGUGGAUGUCUACUUCCUCCUUCACAGCUCCAUGUACAUCCCUCCCUGUCAAAGCUGCAGGUUUGCUGGAAGAAGAUCAAUCCCUAUAGGGGAAGAUCUUUUCCCCAGUCAAGGGGAAGUAGCUUCACCCCCAGCUAGAACCUCUAGACAAGCUAUCAAGGAAGCAGAGAUUCAUAGGUAAGGGAGAGAUUUAGAAAUCUCUCAACAAUAAGGAAAUCAAUAAAGUCUGU
rnacentral:snRNA from 1 species